UACGGGGGGGGUAAGCGUUGUUCGGAAUUACUGGGCGUAAAGGGCUCGUAGGCGGCCAACUAAGUCAGACGUGAAAUCCCUCAGCUUAACUGGGGAACUGCGUCUGAUACUGGAUGGCUUGGAUUUGGGAGAGGGAUGCGGAAUUCCAGGUGUAGCGGUGAAAUGCGUAGAUAUCAGGAAGAACACCUAUGGCGAAGGCAGCUCUCUGGGACGGUACUGACGCUGAGACGCGAAAGCGUGGGGAGCGAACAGG
rnacentral:rRNA from 1 species